GAUGAACGCUGGCGGCGUGCCUAAUACAUGCAAGUCGAGCGAACAGACGAGGAGCUUGCUCCUCUGACGUUAGCGGCGGACGGGUGAGUAACACGUGGAUAACCUACCUAUAAGACUGGGAUAACUUCGGGAAACCGGAGCUAAUACCGGAUAAUAUAUUGAACCGCAUGGUUCAAUAGUGAAAGACGGUUUUGCUGUCACUUAUAGAUGGAUCCGCGCCGCAUUAGCUAGUUGGUAAGGUAACGGCUUACCAAGGCAACGAUGCGUAGCCGACCUGAGAGGGGGAGCGGCCACACUGGAACUGAGACACGGUCCAGACUCCUACGGGAGGCAGCAGUAGGGAAUCUUCCGCAAAGGGCGAAAGCCUGACGGAGCAACGCCGCGUGAGUGAUGAAGGUCUGCGGAUCGGAAAACUCUGUUAUUAGGGAAGAACAAAUGUGUAAGUAACUAUGCACGUCUUGACGGUACCUAAUCAGAAAGCCACGGCUAACUACGUG
rnacentral:rRNA from 1 species